rnacentral:lncRNA from 1 species
GCCACUGCAGACCACCUGAUCAUAUUAAAUUCCAGCUGUGGAGGCUUUGGUUGUUUCUUGCACGUUGCCAAUUUUAAGAUAACAAAACUGUUCAGCGAGAGAGAUUUAAAUGGAAAAAUUCAGACAGCAGGCCUACGGGGAAAGUUAGACCUUUUAUAAAAACCUAGUAAAACAUGAGUAAGAAUCUCAAAGUUUGGUGUAUUGAUUUUUCUUGUGAAAGUUCAAGAACUGUGUUUCAUUGCAGGCAGAAACUCAUCUCAACUCCUCAUGACCAGCUGAGCAAGGGAGAUGGGAUUUGAUGCUAUCCAGGGUGUAAUUCCACAGUUCGUGUCUUUUUCUAGUGCCAGCUUAAUAAAUUUCUGCCUACUCCCAGCCAUUCAUUUCCAGCUCAGCAGCAAUGCGGUGCCAUCUCUUUCUUGACCGUGUGGAAAACCAGAUGACUGAAAAUACCUCAGUCAAGAAAAAAACCACUUUUCUAAAAUUUGAAUUAGAAUCGUUUGAAUGAACUUGUUACAGCAUGGCCCGUGGGCAGUUGUACAGGUAGAGCUGAAGGUGACAUGAAUUGCAGCGUCAGAAGCAGCAGUGAGCACUGGAGGGUGUCCCAGUGUUAAAAGAUCUUGCUGUCAACAAAAAUCUACUCUGGGACCCUAUCCUGGAUGAAGGGGUUUCACUAGCCACAGUAUUAUUUUGUGUUGCUUUUCAUUUUAUUUUUAUUUUCUUAAAAAAGAUUAACAUCUUGCUUGGGCAGGUUUGUUUUUUCUUCAGAUAAACCGUCUCUGUGAGAAGUCAGUCAGCUUUGUGGACAGCCAUGAAUGUCAAUAAAGUCUUGGCAAACACACGAGAAAAGACAGAGCUGCCAAGUGCUUGGAUCUCAUGACGGGCUUUUCAGACGUGAGUACUGCUGCUGGUGUACCCAGGACUGGGUCCUGUUCCUUGUUGGAUCUUUCCUACAGCAACAGGGAAAGAAGGAAGAAAAAUGCUUCAUGACAACAGAAACAUUGGACUGUAAAAUAUACAUAUGUAUGAGGAAAAGAGAAGCAUGUGUAAUGG